rnacentral:rRNA from 1 species
UACGUAGGGGGCGAGCGUUUGUCCGGAUUUAUUGGGCGUAAAGAGCUCGUAGGCGGUUUGGUAAGUUGGAUGUGAAAUCUCCAGGCUCAACUUGGAGGGUCAUUCGAUACUGCCAUGACUAGAGUUCGGUAGGGGAGUGUGGAAGUUCCUGGUGGAGCGGUGAAAUGCGCAGAUAUCAGGAGGAACACCCGUAGCGAAGGCGGCACUCUGGGCCGGAACUGACGCUGAGGAGCGAAAGCGUGGGGAGCGAACAGG